GCUUGCCACACUCAUCAGGUGAAUGAUGAUAUCGCGUAUUUACAUGAUGUUAUAACCUAUAGGUAACUUGAGCUAUUAUAUAAAAAUGUUUGACGUCAUCAGGAAAGCGUAAACCUAUGUCUGUAACCUGAGCUAUUGGCUGCAAAGCAGGAAUUUUUUCCUGUGCCUACAUGCGGAUAUUAGUUCGUUUCUUGAGUUCAGAGAGCUUAAUUUGGGAUAGUAAAUUAUAAUAAACUUUUCGUGCAGGCAUAAUUUGCAACGUUUUGUUUUGUUUGAGUAGGCCUUACAUUUCUUUAAAAUUUUCCAGUGGAUAGAGUAUUGUAUAUUGGAUUGUUUCAACUGCCAAAUAUAUUUAUUCAGUUCGGUUGAAUGUUUAUGUUCCGGGUUCCUGAACGAGCUUGUAUGGUUAUAAUAUCUCACCUUAAAUGGGCCCGCUGUGUGUCUUUCUGGUGGUUGUCUUCUCUCGUUACUGUGGCCUGGUACACAACGCUUUCGGUUAAACAUUUGCCAGGGAGGGGGCAGGAUUCUUCCUGGCGGCAAUUGCACUUCCUAUCGGGAUUUUUAGUUGCCUCGGGCUGCUUGCAAUCGAGUACGGUUCUGUUGUGCGCCGUGAUGAUAUUGUGCACGUUGGGCAUACAGCUGUAGCUUACCUUAAGGUUGUUCCUAUUGAAUAGUUUAUGCAGAGGAUGGUUUGGCGGGAAGCAUUCAUCAAUAGCUUGCAGGAAUUUGUGACCAAUGUCGGUGGCAACGUUGGCGCUGUAGGGAGGGUUAAACCAUAUCACAUUUCUGUUUCUAUUACGUUUGGGUUUGGGUGACUGGGGAUUGUAAUUGAGGACAUAGUUAAAACCGCUCUUUCGCAGGGCUUCCUGAUAUGGGG